CGCGUAGGCGGCUCAUGAAGGCUGUGGUGAAAGUCCGGGGCUCAACCUCGGAUCGGCCGUGGCGACUCGUGGGCUGGAGCACUGUAGAGGCGGGUGGAAUUCCGGGUGUAGCGGUGGAAUGCGUAGAGAUCCGGAAGAACACCAGUGGCGAAGGCGGCCCGCUGGGCAGUGGCUGACGCUGAAGCGCGACAGCGUGGGGAGCAAACAGGAUUAGAUACCCUGGUAGUCCACGCCGUAAACGAUGGGCACUAGGUGCUUGGGGGAGCGACCCUCUGAGUGCCGGCGCUAACGCAUUAAGUGCCCCGCCUGGGGAGUACGGCCGCAAGGCUGAA
rnacentral:rRNA from 1 species